AUUGAACGCUAGCGGGAUGCUUUCCACAUGCAAGUCGAACGAGUGGCGGACGGGUGAGUAAUAUAUCGGAACGUGCCCAGUAGCGGGGGAUAACUACUCGAAAGAGUGGCUAAUACCGAAGACUAUUGGAGCGGCCGAUAUCGGAUUAGCUAGUUGGUGGGGUAAAGGCUCACCAAGGCAACGACCCGUAGCUGGUUUGAGAGGCCGACCAGCCACACUGGGACUGAGACACGGCCCAGACUCCUCCUGGAGUGCGCAGUGGGGAAUUUUGGACAAUGGGGGAAACCCUGAUCCAGCCAUCCCGCGUGUAUGAGAAGGCCUUCGGGUGUUAAAGUACUUUUGGCAGAGAAGCGGUAUCUGCAGAAUAAGCACAGGCUAAAUACGUGCCAGCCGCCGCGGUAAUAC
rnacentral:rRNA from 1 species